rnacentral:rRNA from 1 species
AACGAACGCUGGCGGCAUGCCUAACACAUGCAAGUCGAACGCGUGUAGCAAUACACGAGUGGCGGACGGGUGAGUAACGCGUGGGAACCUGCCCAAUGGUAGGGAAUAACUGCGGGAAACUGCAGCUAAUACCCUAUGCUCCCUACGGGGAAAAGAUUUAUCGCCAUUGGAGGGGCCCGCGUCGGAUUAGCUAGUUGGCGGGGUAAUGGCCCACCAAGGCUACGAUCCGUAGCUGGUCUGAGAGGAUGAUCAGCCACACUGGGACUGAGAUACGGCCCAGACUCCUACGGGAGGCAGCAGUGGGGAAUAUUGGACAAUGGGGGAAACCCUGAUCCAGCAAUGCCGCGUGAGUGAAGAAGGCCUUAGGGUUGUAAAGCUCUUUCGGCGGGGACGAUGGUGACGGUACCCGCAGAAGAAGCCCCGGCUAACUUCGUGCCAGCCGCCGCCGUAAAAC